GUAAGUAUAGUUUAACCAAAAUAUUAGAUUGUGAUUCUAAAGACAGGAGUUAAAACCCCCUUACUCACC
rnacentral:tRNA from 6 species